AAUGCCUGCUGUCAGCUGGUACGAAAAAGUAUUAAACUCAUCCUUUGCACCAUAGAAUUGACUUCCACAAAGUGUUGUAGAGGAAACAUCUGUGAGUGGAAAACAUCCUGUCACAGAUAAUGCAAGGAAGGAGAAGUGAAUCUACUUGGCCUGCUCCAUACUUGUUUGAUUGCAGGUAUAAUGCAAUGCCUGUGCAAUCACCCGAUGCAGAAGUCAUUGAUGCCUCUUCUCUUCUGCCCUUCUAGGCAGUGUGAUGUGAACUUCCUCAUUCUCAAAGCAGCCCUGAUGUGUCUUGUUCUCCUCCUUUCUUCUCUUUGCUUUUCCCAUGCAGUCCAAGUAUCAGCAGUAGAGGUCAACACCCCGGAGGAGAUGUUUGUGGAGAACGGGACGGACGCGAAGCUCCCAUGCACAUUCACAUCCGUAGAAGUGAUCAGCAGUGCAGCAUCUGUCUCCUGGAGCUUUCAACCAGAGGGAGCAGCCACUCGUAUCUCAUUUUUCUAUUACUCUAAUGGGAAGUCAUACCCUGGCAAAGACAUACCAUUUAAAGAUAGGAUCACCUGGGCUGGAGAUCUUAACAAGAAAGAUGCUUCUAUCAUGAUAUCAAACAUGCAGUUCCGGGACAACGGCACGUACAUUUGUGAUGUCAAGAACCCACCUGACAUUGUUGUCAAACCAGGAGAAAUCCGAGUCAGAGUUGUGGAGAAAGACAGCCUGCCUGCGUUCCCCAUUGCCACCGUGGCAGGGAUAGCCAUCGGUACGGUUACAGGUCUCUCAUCGCUCAUCUCUAUUGUCGUGUGUCUUGUCAUCAGAAAGAACAACUCUAAAAAACGAUACUCUGGCUGCAGUACCUCUGAGAGCUUGAUGUCUCCGGUUAAGCAAGCUCCGCAGAAGGCGCCCUCCGACACAGAGGGCCUGGUAAACAGCGUGCCCGCCAGAUCACACCAGGGCCCAGUCAUUUACGCGCAGUUAGAUCACUCCGGGGGACAGCACAGCGACAAGAUCAACAAGUCAGAGUCUGUGGUCUACGCCGACAUUCGGAAGAACUGAGAUCCUCAGCUAUCCAAAGGACAACACACGUUCAGACUGGAAUUGCUUGAGCAAGAUUUGACCCAGAGAACUCACAUGUGGCCUUUGAUGCCUAGGCUAGGACCAAUGCAUGUGCAUACAGAGGGAGAGAUAUAUAUGUAUUGUGUGUAAAUAGUCUAUUUAAUCGUACAGAAGUGAGACCAAUGUUGCAUGUUGAAAUGCGGUAAGAAUUUUGCUUAUAAAUUGCCAAUAUUCUUUUUUUUUUUUUUUUGUAUCUUGUGUGACGAGAGAGAAAGUGAAAACUCGCAUCACAAUUUUAAAAUAUUUUUAUCUUGAUUAUUAAUGGAGAAACUGGAAGAUGCCUGAAGAUUCUAGAUUGACCUGGAGAUUUUUUUUCUUUGCUUAUAGGGCCUAAUUUCUUUUGUUGAGGCGACUAUAAAGAAGACAUUUUCUUUAUAUUCAGAAUUCUUUAUGUAUACAGGGUAUUUAUCUUUCCUUGGUCAGAUUAUCAGUACAGGUUGCCUUCUCGUGUAAACUGGACCCUCUCACUUGGUUUUGUAAGCCAAAUUGUGACUCCUAGCUAUCAGAAAUGUAUGUCUUAGCAGUGUGAGUGAAGGAAACCUUUAGGCCUACCUGACCUGUGUAACAUGGGUCACAAAACUGUUUACUUCUCAAUGAGCCCAGCUAUUCAAGCUGUCCUUUAAGGGGCAGGGAUAGUGUUGAUCUAAUGAAUUUUGUGAAAUGGUAGUUUACCUGUGAAAAGGAAGGAGAUAGUGAAUUAAAGGCAUAGGAAGCUGUAGCUGUAGGUGGUUACCUCAGACUCUGUUGAACCUUUCAGUGAAAUAUUUCGUCCUCAAAGCUCUGUCAUUUCAUGCAAGCAUUAAAAAGGGCUCCAAGGGAUCUGGAAGCUGUAGUACUCCCAUACCUCUCUCCCAUAGCUCCAUUAUGCCACUGUCACCUCCUUGGAGGUGCUUUAUCUGUUCUCAAAAGCCUGUAGUGGAGGCUGAACAACUUCUGGAGGAAAUCUAGGGCUCUUUGGGUUUUUUGAUGUGUGGUUUUUUUUUUUUGUGUGACCAAUAUUUGCACAGAAGAUGCAGAUGGGCAAUUUAUUUCCUUCAUACCUUCAAGCCUGCUGCUUGAAUGCAGUUGUCCAGCCUCUUGUUUCUAGGUUAAACUCCUCCUAGAUUAUUAAGGAUCUCUGCUGAUAAGGAUUUCUUUUGCUGACCCAUUGUAUCCUGAAAUCUGGUGCUCAAAACUAGAAGUGGCCUUCCAGCAGAGAUCUUCUCAAAGUGACACACAGAAGAAGGAUUUCUGUUUUGUACAUCCCAAUGUAGUGGUUUUGUUUUGGGUUGGGUUUUUUUUGGCAGCAAAUAAUUUUCAGAUUGGUCUAUGGCAACCACGUUUCUCUGAUUCUUACCCACUUCCUAGUUCAGUGUGUUUCAGAAUCAGUCCCAGAAUGGUUGAGGUUGGAGGGACCUCUGGAGAUCAUCCAGUCUUCCUCCAGCAGGGUCAGCCAGAGGAGGCUGCCCAGCCCUAUGCCCAGUUUCGAGCAUGUCCACAGGUGGGACCUCUAGAGCAUCUCUGGGCAACCUGUUCCAAAAAACCUCAAGCCCACAUUUGGCUCCUAACACCAAGCACAUGAAAAAUAGUUACAGGCCCAUGGCAGAUCCUUUUACAACCUCAUUAGAUAAUUCUUUAAUUAUGACAGAGCAAUUUUAAUAACUAUUUUGUGUACAGUGGGCAUUUUUUUCCCCAAGAAAAUUAGGUAUGGCAACACUAUAUUCUUUCAUCAGGAUCAGACGUCUCUGGUUUCCUGACAACAAAGCUGCCUUUAUUAGAAAACAACAGCUUUAUUUUUGUAUACAUGCACUGGGUAGAUCUUAGGACAUUGUCCUCAAAGCCAGAACCAGCUUCUUCAAAUUGGGGCUCAGAAGGAAACCAUGGAUUAAUUUAUUCUGCCAUAUGUCAGUUGCUAAUCCUGCAAUAUCUGAAUUUGUGUAAUUCUUCUUCCAAGACUUGGCUGGUAUCAAAAAAAGGACGUGUUUCAGUUUUAAAGCAUCAGUUCUCAGGUAUUUGCCAAGUCUUGUAGGGAACUGAGACACGGAGCUGUGGCAAACUAACAACUCUGUAAAUAUUUUAACAUUUUAUUUUUUGGCAAUAACACAUACAAGAUGAAAAAUGGACAAAUUUCUUCUUCACAGGAGACCUUUAAAUAUCUUCUUCUACUUUAUGGAUUAAGCUGGGUUUUUUAGCAAGACUCCACAUGAAGGGCUAUGGUGCUUGUACCCAGUGCUGGCGGCUGAUGGAGUGGGACCUACUCACCCCAGAAACUUUCAAGGGUAGUUUGUCCACUCAAGCUUCCAUCUGUUGAUAAGAUCCACUGCCUUGGUUGCUGCAGUGCUGAUGCUGGUGACUGUAGUCAGGAAAUUCUUUACUCAGAAGAUGGUGAGGCCCUGGCACAGCUUGCCCAGAGAAGCUGUGGAUGCCCCAUCCCUGGAAGUGUUCAGGGUCCUGUUGGAUGGGGCUCUGAGCAGCCUGGUCUGAUGGAAGUGUCCCUGCCCAUGGCAGGGGGUUGGAACUAGGUGAUCUUUAAGGUCCUUCCCAACCCAGUCCAGUGUGUGAUUCUGUGGUUCUGUAGGGUCUUCUCAAGUGCUGAAUUCUGCACCUGGCAGCCAGGGGGGACAUCCCUGUCCUGGGGGGAACCAUGCCCAGCACUGCCAGCUGGGCAAGGGCAGGGAUUGUCCCACUCUGCUCUGGGCUGGGGUGGCCUCACCUCCAGUCCUGGGGCAGUUCUGGGUGCCACAAUAUAAAAAGACAUGGAGCCAUUGGAGAGUGUCCAAAGGAGGCCACGAGGAUGGUGAAGGGACUGGAGGGGAGGCCUGCUGACAAAUGGCUGAGGUCACUUGGUCUGUUCAGCCUGGAGGAGACUGAGGGGAGACCUCACUGUGCUCUUCAACACCCUCGUGAAAGAAGAGAAGGGGCAGGCACUGCUCUCUUCACUCUGACAGGGCCCAAGGGAAUGGCACGAAGAUGAGUCAGGGAGGUUUAGGUGGGAUAUCAGGAAAAUGUUUUUCACCCAGAGGGUGGUUGGGCACUGAACAGGGUCCCAGGGCAGUGGUCACAGCACCAGGCCUGACAGAGUUCAAGAAGUGUUUGGACACUGCUCUCAGGCACGUGGUGUGACUCCUGGGGUGUCCUGCCCAGGGCCAGGAGUUGGACUUGAUGACCCUGAUGGGUCCCUUCCAACCCAGUAUAAAUUAUUAUUAAGAUCAGGAGGAAUCCUGCUGCUGCUGCUUUCCUUAUCAGGCUUUACUUCCCAACAUUUAUUUUACACUUAAUAAAACAUUAAUGCUUUGGAUGUGGUUGAUGGAGAAACUUGAUUUUGAUCUGCCUGUGUUCAUCCCUGUGCAUCACCAUCUUGCUCCCCCAACAUUUUUGAGUAAGAAGGGGAAUUGUGAUGAAUGUGGCGGUCAGAAACUUGCUGCUAUGAGAAGAUGGGGCUGGCCUUGCCUCUGAAGUCUGCUACUAACGUUUGCUUCUUUUCCUGCUGGAAUGUACUGGAGAAUCUGAGCACAAUUCUGAUGUGGUGCUAACUUUAGGAAGCACACGAAUCCGGUGCUAACUUUAGGACUGAUCUGGUGCUAACUUUAGGGGACACACUGGUCUGGCUGAUUUUAACUGACUUAAGGAGAUGUCUCCUUGCAUGGCUUUUGUCUAGCUACAGGUAUGUUCAUAUUGCCUAGACUGAGAAGGCUCCCUGUAAGGCUUCUUGGGUCCUCUUUAUGAAGGCAGAAUGAACUUGGAAGUAUUUUUAAAAAACACUGAACAUCCUUUUAAAAAGAAACAAAAGUCUUCCCCCUGGAAUGGCAGAAAUCUGUCUGAAUCCCACUCCAGUGUCAAGGCUGGUUUUUGGGGUUUGGUUAUUAUUUUUUUUUUUUGUCAUGGAAAAGUGAGCAAUAUAAUUAUUAAGUAAUGUAUUCAUGCUGAAGUCAAAAGAACUUCAGCAUUGUGAGACAAUACUUGUGAACUUUCUGUUCCUCAGGUUAUCUGAGAUGGUUUAAGGAUAUGAUAACCUGUGCUGAUGAAAGGGACUGAUGCUGAGUUGGCUUACUUAGUAAAGUCUCAGGAGACAGAGGACUUCUCUUCCUUGAUGGGUAGAGCAAGCAGAGAUUUAAGUCAGACAAGGUCAUAAUAUCCUGAUGUUCUGGUGACCAGAAGUUUAACUCUGAUUGCUCUGCUGCUGCUGUUCUCUCAAUUCUCUGAUGCUGUUCCUUGCAGGAGGAAAAGAACAGCUUGGACUUUGAGGAACACAAAGGGUGUUGUCCUUGUCCUGUUGUGGCACUGCUGCCAGCUCUUUUAACGAUCAUCUAUUUUCAAAACAAGUGCUGCAUGCCAGGCUUGCAGCAGCCCAGAGGAGGAGCAGGCACCUCUCUUGAGGCAGUAGCCAGUGACUAAAACAAUUAGGGGGGUCAUUGCUCCUGGAUGGUGGACCUGGGAGGGCCUGUGUGAUGAAAGACUUGCAAUAAAUUCUCUUAUUCAUCAUGCAAACAAAACUGGGAUCAGUCUGAAAUCUUCCUUAUUUUUGACUAAUUGAUAAAUUAAUUUCAAGAGGACUACAAAUAAGGUAAUCAAGCUAAGUAAAUUGGUAGUGUACUCAGUCCAUCAGGUUUCCAUGGCCCCUUUUGACUUCAGCAGUUGUUCUGUGAGGAAGAUGCUCACCAUGUUCACAAAAUCUUAGCAUUAAGAGCCUUUACAGUGGGGCAGAUAUGUCCCUGCAACUCAUUGCCUGAUGUGUCAUUUAUAACUGGAGACCUGUAGGGUUUUGUUUUCUCUCAAAGCUUUAGUGGUAUUUCAGUUUGUGACUAGAAGAGCUGUAAUUAAGUUUUUAAACUUUUUAAAGCUGUGAGAAUUGUCUAGGUAACCAUCUGUCUUGUAACUGCAGUAAAGGUGUGCAUGCAGCUUAAAAGCUGCAUUGCCUUAGAGUGGAUUCACUGAGGUCAGGUAUGGAGUUUUUGAUUUGUGACCAGAACACCUUCACUCUGUACUGGAAUCUUGUCUUGGAAUUCUACAGUAUUAGUGUAUCUGCCAAGGACCUCAAAUACAAAAAGUUCUUAUUGCAUCAUAGCUGAUGAAAAUAUUUCCUCAAUAAAACUACCAAGAGAGAAGGUGGGUGGGACUUCUGGGCUAUGGCCACACCUCUGCAGCGUAACAUUUUUAUACAGGAGACUACAAAAUCAUAUUAACAAGGCUCAGCAAUUAUUCUCUUCUUUAGGUUUCUCUUUCCCUUCUCUUCACUGCCCUAAAGCUAAUAAGCCCUUUCAUUUACAGGUAUUUUUGCACUCUAAAAUAUAAGUUCAAUGCCUUUGGAGAUCAGUGUGCUGUGCAAUGUUUUCUGUCUCCCUGCCAUGCCAACUGUUCUUAUGUGGUAACUGUAAUUGAAAACAUAGACUGGGUACUUUUCUUUUAUAAACCUCUGUCCUGGAGGUGUGCAAGACAACAAACACCUGUAAGACAGGUGUAUAAUCUCUGUGAGGGAGCUAGAUAUGCAUUGCAUGGCCUGAUUACAUGAAGAGCCAGUGUACCAACUGUUAGUGCUUUUGCUUUUACAGACUCAUCUGGAAACAGUUAUAUUGGAUAUUUUUUCUUGAAUGGACUUCAAUGUUUUCUAUUGUAAUCUUGUGAAUAUUUUAAUACACUUUUUUUUUUCCCAUUACUGGUUUGCUGGAUGAGUCUUACCUGGUUGGGGACUGGGAAGGGAGGGGGACUGGAAUACACCACCUCUCUUCCUAGCAGUAUUCUUCUUCAGUCACUGUGACCACCUGGUGACCAACACAGCUGGAGAACUUGCCACUUGAGACCCUGAGACCAAGGACCAAGACAUGCAAGUGGAAUUGUGGCAGAACAGAGAACUGACUUUGUGCUGGGACAGCCUUUGAAAAGGAGGAGCUGACAGACUCAUCAGAACCUACCGUGCCCCAGUUAUCUUUUCCCCUGCAUGUGAAUUUCUAAGUCUGGUGCUUCAACACCCCCAUCUUCUGCCUGGAGUUGUGGAGGAAGCUAAAACACCAGUGGCACAUUUGUUUGCUGUCUUUUUUUUCAGGACAGUGGUAGCUGGGGAACAAAUCAAGACACACACAGCUGAAGCUGGAACAAAUAUCCUUAUGCUACCGGGGAAGGAAGAGCAUCAGGAAAUGAAAUGCAAAUGCUACUGUUGGUUACUGAAAUAUGGCAAACCCCCACCCAGGUGGUUUUCUGACACUGACAGGAAGAUCACUUCAGUCUGAGGCUCUGGCUGUCACCAGUACUGUGUCACUCCCAGCACUGCUCAGUGGAGUCAGAAAAGGUGAGGCUCAGCAAUUCUUUUUAGACAAAAUCCAUCCAGUCUCUUUAGACAAUACAAGACAAACAAUUCUGCCUUAAUUUUAAAAGGUUACCCUUUAUUUGUGUGGAGAUACCUGGUUAUUUGCACUUAGAAAACAUUUCAUCUCCUUUAUUUUCCUCUUUAUUUUCUCAGAGAAAAAAACAUUAAAAUUAGUGAAGCUAGGUCCCAUGGGGAUGGGUUUGUGCGUUGCUAGAUUUGACCUGUUGGGUUAAGCAUCUCUUUAUUGCACCUGCUUUUGUGCUUUUAGCUCCUGAUUAUACCUAUAGGAAUAAAAAAGAAAGAGCACAGGCUAAGAAUAGAAUAGGACACCAGUUACAAUAACAGUGUUUUCCUAGCAAUGUGUUCACCAGAGGAGGUUUAAAAUUACAAUGGACUUGAGAGUGGAAACUUGGGAUAGAAUAUCUUAAUUCUUGUAGGAAGUUUUAAAGUAGCUAAGUUUGCCACAUUCCUGGCCAGUACUGAAGCCAGAAAACUCCCAAAGUUUCCUUCAAGAAACAAUUUUUUGAAAAAUGCUGCUCUGCUUAAGAGCCUUUUGAUCCAGCUGGAACUGACAGGAUUCAAUGCUGCUCUGGCUUCACUCCGACUUAACUGUAAAACUAACAAUGUAGCAACAACAUUCUGUAACAUUUCAUGAAUGGUUCAGUUCCUCUUGCCUGUUGCACUGACAGAGAGGCUGGCAGCAUUCAUAAAUUCCUGGUUAAUGCUUAGCUGUACUUGUACCCUUAGUAAUGCAUACCUCCAUAUUCGGAAAAGCUGGGAACCACCAGCGCAGCCAACAAAGAAGUUCACAGCAAACAGACUCCAGUUUUUAGGGAUAAUCACCAGAGAAUACCUUGACCAAAUAAGGCCUGUUGAAAAAAAAAAUGGAAAGUUUAAAGAUAUUUCAAAUUAAAUAUUCAGAUAUUUCCCGAAGUUUGGAGACAGAUUCAUGGGCCAACUGAAGUAAACACAUCUCACAACUUCACGUUAGACAACUGCUUUGCUUAUAACUUCCUUUUUCUCAGUGAAAAGUACUAGUGGGACAUCUACAGGUAUGUAGUGCAUUUUUCUGAAAUAGCUACAGCAAGGUCAAUCAUAGUCUGAAUAUCAAAGAUUCUCUGUAGGAUCUUUGCAGCCUAGACCUUAAUUCUCCAGCAAUGUUGCAGUGUAGUGAUAUUUUGCUGUAUAUCCAGCUCGCUGCACGACAUUGGAGAUUAUGCAAAACUUGUGCAAAAUGCACGGGACUGCAUCAGAUAUCAAAAUAAAGUCUGGAGAACCCUUUUAGACAGGAAAAGCAUUGGAAAAAGUGGUGCUGCACCAUCCCUGGAAGUGUUUAUAAGAAGGGUAGUUGCGUCACUUAGAGACGCAUUUUAGUGGAGGACUUGGAAGUGCUGGGUUAAUGGUUGGGGUCUGUGAUCUUAAAAGUCUUUUCCAACUUAAAUGAUUCUAGGAUUACAGAAUAUUGUUUCUGCCAGUGUGAGAAUUCUUGGCAGACAGCAGUGCAGUAGUCCAUGUGCCACUGCUUCAAAUUUCUUACAACACUUGGAAAUUCUUUCCAGUUAUGUUAGUGUAAUUACCCUACCAUUCUUAAAUCCCUUAAUGUCUAUUCUAAAAAAGUCACUGUAUCCUGGACUGAUUUCAAAAAUACUUGAUCUGAAGGAAAAGAGGUCACUUACUGCAAUGAAUGGUAUCAUGGUAACUUGAGGGAUGACACUCAUGCCUAACUUGUAGCAACUUGUGCUGAACAAUUCCAAAUUAAGACAGGUGUAGAAAACUGUUACAUAAUUACAGAAUGCUUACUGAUUGAAUAACAAGUAGAGGUCUGUCCUAGAAUCAGCAUCCAACAGCAAUAGUGACAACUAGCGUGUUAAAAUUAAGGCUUUCUGUGGAGGUGGAUUAGUACUGAUGGAAGAUUCUGAGAUGGUGCUGUGUGAAAACAGAAAGUGUUUUAAGAAGGCUUUACCUGUGGCCAUGAGUACUGCAGACUGUGCUGUGCUGAGCUUUUCUGCUGGUCUGGCCAUGUCAGCCAGUCCAGCACACACCAAGCCCUGCAAAGAGAAAUUCAGUGAGCACCAGUCUGGGACUCCUGUAACAGAUGAAGAGCUUUGCAAGGGGAAGCUGCUUCACAGCUCAGUGCUUAUCCUACUGCAUUAUACAGGAGAUGGGAUGCAUUCUAUGAGCAAUUAGACUCUGGGAGAUACCAUCCACUUCCAGUCCUUUGUGGUAGGAAAAAAGAACACAGUUAUAGCAGCUACAACUGGAUGGCAAUAAAAUCCCAGGCACUGGCAGUUUUGUAUUAAUUCAAGAACAAGGUUAAUUUGAACACAGCUGCUUAAGAAAGCAGCUGGAAAAUAUUCCACCCUUGUUUUUAAACAACAAGUAGAGGCUUAUUUAAAUGAGGGCCUUCUUUCCACAGGUCAGGCUAAGAUACUGGUCUCUUCACCCCAUAAAGUCUUCAUUUAGCUUCGUCCGAGGGGAGUAUUUUUCUUAAAUAAAAUUCCAGUAAUAGUAGAAAACAUGCAGGCGAAUUGAGGAAUAGCUUGGCUGAUCUACUUGACAUUAGCAGCAAACACUCUGCUUGGUUUGUUGUGUUAUUGCCCUCUACUGGAAAUACAGUUUCACAUUCCUGUUACACCAGUUCACAAAAAACUCCAGACAAACCCCUAAGUAAGAUAGUCCUAGUGCUUUUUAUCCAGGACUCCUUGGGCACAGAAGAGCUGUCCGUGUGCUUAGGCUCAGGAGGGUGUUUCCAGGGAGAACUUCUGAGGAAAGGGAAGGUUAACCAUGGUUCCUGCAGCUCCAGACCAGACAACAGACAAAGAAACCGAGCUGUAGCUCAGAGCACAAUGUUGCCUGUGGCCUAUAAAACGCUGGGGUUCACAACGGCAAAGUUACAAAGCAGCUGGCAAGGGAAAGAGCAGGUUACAUCCUUGUUAUCAAUCAAGAUCACACCCUUGUGGGUUUGAAGAUCUCUCGUUUUAUCUGUAUCAGUGCAACACCCCAGAAGAGCACAGUGAAUGAGGAGGUGGCAUUUGCAUCACCUGGGCACAAACACAGCCCAGGGCUGCAGCCAGUGGGAGGCAGAACCUCACAGGAGGCAGAGCACCACUGACAGCCACAAUGGCAGCUGCCUUGGGCUUUUAGGUCAAGACUGCCCUGCACUCUGACAUGCUUCAGCCUGCCUUCAAGAUACAAGGCUUAGGAAUUGGCUUCCUUAUAAGAUACUUCUCAAAUUCCUCAAUCUCAGAAGAAAUGUAUUUUGUUAUGAGUUUUGCAUCAUGCCUACCUUGAGCAACAGGUGGUGUUUCACAAGAGAAAGCCUUUGUGAAACCCAGUGAAAAGCACAAUUCUUCCACAAAGCAUUUUCCCCACACUGUUAUCCCCUUCCUUUUGUGCUGUUACUAAGGCUAAUUUUCUUCCUCCUCAUAUAUUAAGAAUGAGAGCCUCUAGUCUUUCUGCAGGUUCAAGUAUCUGCUGGGAAACUCUUGCUUGCUCAGUGUGUUGCAGCAGAUUGCCCUGGCAUGACACCCAGACACCAGCUGGCAUCUUGUACUUACCCAUUUCAUAACAGGUGCCCAGAAAAACACUGUUUUGGGACCUGAGGGAGAAUGGGAGAAAAGAAAUUAUUUAGUAAAUGUGGCUGUUUUAAUACCCACAGUAAGUUUAAAUUGGUUUAUUUUGGUUGGUGUUUUUUUAAAUAAUGAAUUGUUUAUAGUAGCAUUUUAUACUGCUGUACAGGCUCUGGCACCUAAUACUUAUAAUUCAUCAACUCAGUGCAUCAGCCUUCAGUUGUGUAAUCACUGCACACAUUUCUGCAACAGCUGGAUAGGAUUUCUUAUGUCCAUGUUCAAGCAACUGAGAACACCAAAGUAGGCAAAAUGCAUUUAUAAUUGAAAGAGUUAGGAAAAGGCCUAGGAAUAGGGAAAACACCCCAAAAAUUAGGUACACCUAAUUGAGUACACCAGUAGGUAAAGGAGGAUUAUAGGGAAGAGGAUGAAAUCUCAAGAAGGAAGGGAGAAAAAUCCAAUGGCAUGGGACCUGGGGAAAAAACAACUCUCUUAUAAAUACAUAAAAUUUCCAGUGGUGCUAAAAUAGCAACUGGUUGGUUAAAAGCAAGCCCUGCAAAGCCACACCUACAACUAUGCCAGAAAUCAUUAAUCUGGGACUUGUGCUCCAAGUCUUAAAUAAGAGACCACAAUCCAAAGUACCAACUUCUCCUGUGAAACAGUCAGGACACUGUUCUAAUUUUAUCACAAAAAAUUAAUGUUUAGGUCACUGCUCAGCACUCUGAUAACAUGCAAGAGGAAGCCAAGUUUUCACUGUAAUAUAUUACACAGGAGUAACCACCAGGACUUUGGUUGCCUGCUUUUGGUGAGAGCUAUUUCUUCACUAAUAAUUUAGCCCUUAAAAGACCUUGCACCAACUACCUGUACUUCCAGUUUUAACCACCCUCAAUUUUAAAACUAUGACUUGGGAAACAAAAACUGGCUUGGCAGCCUUGCAUAAAGCCCUUUUUCACCCACCCUGCUUGUGAUCAAGUUUCAAACUGCAUUUAGUAACUACAAGCACAUUACCUUUUGUUUAAUAUUGUUGAAUAUUAGAUAACAGCAGCUUAGUGUUCAUCCUUUAAAGUUACAAACUUCAGCUGCUGUUCUCUUAGGCACUUUUUUGGUGUGUCAGAAUCAGGCUGCAAAUUCAGCUUGUAAUAAAUCAGUCUUACAGAGUAGCUUUAAUUACUAACAUUUAUCUAAUUCUAAAAUACAAAUUCAGAUUUGGAGUACUAGAGGAUGUGGGAUGAGUAUAAAUUAUUAAACUGACACUCCCUAAACAGCUAGUUGAGUUUUCAAGAAGACUGACAUUAAUUUUUAUUAAUAAUAGAAAACUCAACCAUUUCAAACUGCUGACUGCAGAACUAAGAAGCAGCUGGAGACAGGGAAGGUACCAAGCCAAGUUUGUAAUUAGGAAAAACUGUCCAACACCUCUCCUUGGAGACACUCCAGCAAGUACCCAGCCUGGUCAGAGUCUCAUGUAUUGCAUAACUUUCUCACUGACACACCUUCAAGGCUAAAAUAGAAAGUUGCGGGGUUCACUUUCUAUACUUGCUUGUGCUGUGACUUUUCUCACUUAUAUCAUCAGUAUGGAUUAUGACAGAUAGAUAUAUGUGUAUAUAUAAUAUAUAUAUAUACACACAGAAUCCCUAAAAAUGGAUUUAUUAAUUACAACAUUCUGGUGACGACCAAAAGCAGCCCACAGGGAGUUCUGUGAAGUGAAAAGCACUGCAAGAGAACCUCCAAAACCUUCUCCAAUUCCCACUACUUCAGCUCUGCUGAAGAUGGAACAUGGAUGUUCCCAGUACCUGCUGUGCCUUGCAUCCACUAAGAGCUUCUGGAAUCUGCCACAUUUCCCACCAGAGGAAUGUGUCUCUCAGUGUUGGACAUAUUGUCUCUUUAUAUAUAAAAACAAUACAUUAAUGUUAAAUAUAUUGGUCUAGAGAACUGCA